UGACAACAUACCUUUAAAUGUGAUACGUAAGCAAGAAUCUGGAAUGCUUCUUAGGGAAGAACAUCCUUCAGCCUAGACUUACAGGAUGACUCAACAUUUGCCAGGCAGAUGGAAAGGAGGAACAUUCCAAGCUUAAAGACAGUGUCGCCUGUGUAUGACUCUCUGGGGAAGCUUGGGAGCAACACUUUCAAUGGAAACAUGGACAGGCUGGGAUCAUACAUGGAGUGUCUUUCCACCCAUGCUCCCAAGGGGAACUUCCGAGGGCGGUACUGCAAGCUUCAUAUACUGCAGGAUGGGGCUGACUACAGUGUGGGCGUGUGUGUCCCUGAUUCUUGUGCUGAAGAGGAUGUGACUCUGAUGUCUCGGCUGGAUACUUUAAGAUUCAGAAAUACUUCAUUUUUGGCCCCUUCCCUCUUUCUUUUUACAAUAAAUUCUUCCUCCUUGUCUGGUGGGAGUGUGGCCAGAUGUGCUGCUGGAAAGAUCCCCCUGGACACAUUUGCUGCCGUGUGUCUGUUCAUCACCUUGCUGGGUCUCAUCCUCCCUCCGGCUGGAACAGUCUGCGUGGCAGCGAGGGAAUGGGGGUCAGCCUGCAGGACAUCGCGGGAACACGGGGAACCUCUGGCCACUUAG
ensembl:lincRNA